UAGUGUGGCUUCUCAAAAUUAGGAAAGUUCUGUAAUAAUUUGGGUGUUGUUUCCCAAACCAUAGAUUUUUCCUCUAAAUCGAUAAUUUUCUUUCAGGAAAUUAUGGACUUUGAUGUUCUCUAUAUAAAGAACUCGAGUAAACGUGAUCGUGUACCUCUUCUCCUUAUGUUGGCGAUAGUUUAAAUCCAUGUAUUUAGAAGGUAUACAUUUUAUUGUGGAGUAGUUUCUUAAAAAUGUUUCUACACAUGGCUUCAGUGUGCUUAAAAGGGAUUGCAAUCACAUAAUGGAGCUAAAUGGUCCAAUAAAGGCGAACUGAUGUGUUAUGGAUGAAUUUUCCGGGCAAGGUUUUAAGAUUUUUGGAAUGUGUAGCUUGAUUGAGAAUCCACUUGAUCCACUCAUUUGAAAGUAUAAUCAAUCAUAUUUAAAAAGAAAUUAUGUGUUUCUAGUGAGUGAUUUGUGCUCAUUGUAAUCCAAAUAUUGUGGCCAGAUUGAAAUGAUUAUCAAUUCAAUAAACUUGUGAGUUCCUGCUAGGUCAGUAA